rnacentral:rRNA from 1 species
AGAGUUUGAUCAUGGCUCAGAACGAACGUUGGCGGCGUGCUUAACACAUGCAAGUCGAACGCGAACGGUUUCUUCGGAGACCUAGUAGAGUGGCGCACGGGUGAGUAACGCGUAAGUAAUCUACCCUUGCAUUUGGGAUAACUACGGGAAGCUGUAGCUAAUACCAGAUACGUUCUCUUGUCUACGGACUUGAGAAGAAAGAUGGCCUCUUCAUGAAAGCUAUCGUGCAGGGAGGAGCUUGCGUACCAUUAGCUAGUUGGUAGGGUAAUGGCCUACCAAGGCAACGAUGGUUAGCGGGUCUGAGAGGAUGAUCCGCCACACUGGAACUGAAACACGGACCAGACUCCUACGGGAGGCAGCAGUGAGGAAUAUUGCGCAAUGGGGGAAACCCUGACGCAGCGACGCCGCGUGGAUGAUGAAGGCCUUAGGGUCGUAAAAUCCUGUCAGGUGGGAAGAAAUGCAUAUGUACUAAUACUACUUAUGUUUGACGGUACCACCAAAGGAAGCACCGGCUAACUCCGUGCCAGCAGCCGCGGUAAUACGGAGGGUGCAAACGUUGUUCGGAAUUACUGGGCGUAAAGCGCGCGUAGGCGGUUUGUUAAGUCAGAUGUGAAAGUCCAUAGCUCAA